rnacentral:rRNA from 1 species
GAUGAACGCUAGCGGCAGGCUUAAUACAUGCAAGUCGAGGGGCAGCAUGAUUGUAGCAAUACAAUUGAUGGCGACCGGCAAACGGGUGCGGAACACGUACACAACCUCCCAAUAAGUGGGGAAUAGCCCAGAGAAAUUUGGAUUAAUACCCCGUAACAUAACGAUGUUGCAUCACAUUGUUAUUAUAGAUUUUUCGCUUAUUGAUGGGUGUGCGGCUGAUUAGAUAGUUGGCGGGGUAACGGCCCACCAAGUCUACGAUCAGUAGCUGAUGUGAGAGCAUGAUCAGCCACACGGGCACUGAGACACGGGCCCGACUCCUACGGGAGGCAGCAGUAAGGAAUAUUGGACAAUGGACGCAAGUCUGAUCCAGCCAUGCCGCGUGAAGGAUUAAGGUCCUCUGGAUUGUAAACUGCUUUUGUACCAGAGAAAACCUACUCACGUGUGAGUAGCUGAUAGUAUGGUAAGAAUAAGCAUCGGCUAACUUCGUGCCAGCCGCCGCGGUAACAC